UACAGAGGUCCCAAGCGUUGUUCGGAUUCACUGGGCGUAAAGGGUGCGCAGGUGGGCUGGUAAGUUCGAUGUGAAAGCCCCGGGCUUAACCCGGGAAUGGCAUUGGAUACUACUGGUCUGGAGGAUUGGAGGGGGGACUGGAAUUCUUGGUGUAGCAGUGAAAUGCGUAGAUAUCAAGAGGAACACCAGUGGCGAAGGCGAGUCCCUGGACAAUACCUGACACUGAGGCACGAAAGCCAAGGGAGCAAACAGG
rnacentral:rRNA from 1 species